UACGGGGGGAGCAAACGUUGUUCGGAAUCACUGGGCGUAAAGGGCGUGUAGGCGGCUGAAUGAGUGGGAUGUUAAAUCCCCCGGCUCAACCGGGGAACUGCAUCUCAUACUGUUCAGCUUGGGUACAGCAGAGGAGACUGGAAUUCCCGGUGUAGCGGUGAAAUGCGUAGAUAUCUGGAGGAACACCGGUGGCGAAGGCGGCAUCCUGGACCGAGAUUGACGCUGAGGCGCGAAAAGCUAGGGUAGCAAACGGGG
rnacentral:rRNA from 1 species